UACGUAGGGGGGCAAGCGUUGUCCGGAUUUAUUGGGCGUAAAGAGCGUGUAGGCGGCCAUACAGGUCAGCUGUGAAAACUCGAGGCUCAACCUCGAGACGUCGGUUGAAACCGUAUGGCUAGAGUCCGGAAGAGGAGAGUGGAAUUCCCGGUGUAGCGGUGAAAUGCGCAGAUAUCAGGAGGAACACCGGUGGCGAAGGCGGAUCUCUGGGCCUUACCUGACGCUCAGGUGCGAAAGCUAGGGGAGCGAACAGG
rnacentral:rRNA from 1 species